GAAGGAAUAGGCAGAUAAAGAAUAUUGAAG
rnacentral:piRNA from 1 species